rnacentral:lncRNA from 1 species
CAGAAAAGGAAUCCGAACACAAUCAGAACAAGACAAAAUGUUUUCCUUCUUCUUCCUCAAUCUAACUGUCGUGUAUCCCAUUUCUAGUUCGAAAGUGACCAAGAGCUAUGGCCAUGUGACUGAGAACGGCUGUAAACGAUGAAUGGAGUGAGUUUUGGAUUGGUGUUCAUGCUGGGUUCGUUUGUUACUGGUUCGUUGAUGUGGGGUGCUGUUCGACUGACAUGAAGUCGACUGGAGGGGAAUUGAGAGGUUUGACUGGGCAGUUGGUUUCAGCGAUGGAGGGGUCGUUCAUGGCUAUUCAGAGGCAACAUGUGGAAGACGAAGUAGUGGCGUUAAUGGUGGUCGUUCAUGGCUGCUUCUGGGCUGGUUGACGACUGGCUGAGCUCGAGGAAUCUAGGUUGCUAGGGUUUUAGAGUGUUCAUGGUGAUGAAGGCUGAAGAAGAAGAAGAAGCCUCGGCGUAUAUCUCCUCCUACUGUAGCGGCUGAACCCUCGUUUGCUCUCUAGGGCUUUUUCCUACUUCUUACUGAAGAAGAUCGACACAGNNNN